rnacentral:piRNA from 1 species
ACUGGAUUAUUAAAGUAGUAGAC